CAGAGAGGUCGGACGAUCGCGUUUCAUUUUGAGAUGAGGAAAGUCCGGGCUCCAAAGGGCAGGGUGCUGGGUAACACCCAGGCUUCGAGGGAGAGAUCCUUCGGGGACUGAAAGUGCAACAGAAAAAACACCGCCGAUGAUCCUUAAAGGAUGCAGGUAAGGGUGAAAUGGUGCGGUAAGAGCGCACCGGGCCCCCGGCGACGGGGGUACCUUGAAAACCACGCCUGGUGCAAGAUCAAACAGAGGGAGGGGCUGCCCGCUCCGUUAAAACCUCGGGUUGGUCGCAUGAGAUCGCAAGCAAUUGCGAUCCUAGAUAGAUGAUCGUCGUCCCGAAAGGGAUACAGAACCCGGCUUAUAGACCUUUCUGCCUU
rnacentral:RNase_P_RNA from 1 species